rnacentral:rRNA from 1 species
GACGAACGCUGGCGGCGUGCUUAACACAUGCAAGUCGAACGGAAAGGCCCUGCUUUUGUGGGGUGCUCGAGUGGCGAACGGGUGAGUAACACGUGAGUAACCUGCCCUUGACUGUGGGAUAACUUCAGGAAACUGGGGCUAAUACAGGAUAGGAGCUCCUGCUGCAUGGGGGGGGUUGGAAAGUUUCGGCGGUUGGGGAUGGACUCGCGGCUUAUCAGCUUGUUGGUGGGGUAGUGGCUUACCAAGGCUUUGACGGGUAGCCGGCCUGAGAGGGUGGCCGGCCACAUUGGGACUGAGAUACGGCCCAGACUCCUACGGGAGGCAGCAGUGGGGAAUAUUGCACAAUGGGCGGAAGCCUGAUGCAGCAACGCCGCGUGCGGGAUGACGGCCUUCGGGUUGUAAACCGCUUUCGCCUGUGACGAAGCGUGAGUGACGGUAAUGAGUAAAGAAGCACCGGCUAACUACGUG